CAGGGACUUGCAUUUAAGGUGUUCACUCAAGCAGAACUAGAGCAAGCAACAAACAAGUUUGAGAAAAGCCAGAUUCUUGGACAUGGAGGACAUGGCACAGUGUACAAGGGAAUAACUAAGGAUAACAUUACAGUGGCAAUUAAAAAAUGUGCACUAAUUGAUGAUAGACAUAAGAAGGAAUUCGGUAAAGAAAUGUUAAUACUUUCACAGAUUAACCACAAGAACAUUGUUAAGCUACUGGGUUGCUGUCUUGAGGUGGAUGUCCCGAUGCUAGUGUAUGAGUUCAUUCCAAAUGGAACAUUAUUUGAUCUUAUUCAUGGCAAGAACCGUACUCUUCAUAUCCCUUUCAGUUCUCUCCUAAGAAUUGUUAAUGAGGCAGCUGAAGGGCUUGCAUUUUUACAUUCCUACGCAAAUCCACCAAUUUUGCAUGGUGACGUGAAAACAUCCAAUAUCCUUCUUGAUGAGAAUUACAUGGCAAAGGUAUCAGAUUUUGGCGCCUCCAUAUUAGCACCAAAUGAUGAAGCGCAGUUCGUGACAAUGGUUCAAGGAACAUGUGGAUAUCUGGAUCCUGAAUAUCUACAAACAUGCCAGUUGACAGAGAAGAGUGAUGUGUAUAGCUUUGGUGUGGUCAUCUUGGAGAUCCUUACUGGGCAGAUGCCAUUGAAACUUGAAGGUUCUGAGCUACAGAAAAGCUUGUCAUCAAGCUUCCUAUUGGCAAUGAAGGAGAAUAAUCUUGAGGCCAUGCUAGAUAGCCAAAUUAAAGGUCAUGAGAGCAUGGAACUGCUCAGUGGACUUGCUGAGCUAGCGAAGCAAUGCUUGGACAUGUGCAGUGAGAAUAGGCCAUCAAUGAAAGACGUAGCUGAGGAGAUUAGCAGACUAAGAAAACUUUCGAAACAUCCUUGGAUACAGCGUGAUAGUGAGACAGAGGGCUAUCUCAGUGGACCAUCAACCAGUAACUUUGAAAUUGAGCAAAGCACUGAGUACACAAGGAAGGACGAACAAAUGCCCAUAAACCCAAGCACUUCGUAUUUUAUCCGGUGAUAACAAUCUGUUACAAGAGCUUUCCUGUUUUCCUUAUUGAUUCUUAACAUUAUUCUUUCCAAUUCACUGGUGGUUCUAUAUUGCAACUGCACAAUACUUUCUGUUGGUAUAAUAAUUUGUCGUUGUAUAUGCCCACAACAUUUUUAUCAUUUACCAUUAUUAAACGUAUUCUAUUAUAGUGGCCAAACCAUAUCUCCUCAGGUAAUGUUGUUUAAAUAUUCAACGGAAGUCUUAUAAAGCUCUCAAAACAUUGCAGAACUUGGUGUCUGCUGAAGUUUAUGUUUCCCUUUAUUUCACAAAUGCGACAUGAAUUUAAUCACAAAAAUGACAAGGAACUUACUUGGGGAGUUUGGGGUGUUCUCAGUCCUUGAAAGGCAUUCUCUAUCCUUUCCACCAAUUAGCAAGCGAUGUCUUCAGAUGUGGCAUAUCCUCUGGUUGUGCAAAAGCAAAUCAAUUCGUCUGUCCCCUCCUGCUCGGAAGAAAAAACUGUAAACCAAACCCGAUACACAAAAAAGGGCCGCUCUCACGGAUUCGUUCAAUCGAUGUUGACGAAAUUUGAAGGACGGAUACCUGGAAUGGUCGGAAUCGAUUUGCACCGGCUGGAUGGGAUCGGGACUGAAAUCGGUUCAGAGGCAUCAGAGCCAAGAGGAUUAGGUGCCAAGAGGAUGCAUGCAUCCUCUGAAUGCAGGAAGGAAACGUGACCGUGCCGCCGCCGUUCGUCCGUUCCUCGCCUCGCAGCCUCCGCCUCUCCCCGUCGGCCAUCGGACGCCGAGCCGUCGUCGUUGUCUGCCCGGGUCAAUCCGCGGAGGAUGGAGGCGUAGACCACCGCGAGGCAGGCGCCGAGGCCCCGACCGGCGACCGUGUCCUCCCGCGGCGCCGUGCCUGGUUGAUUUCCGCCCUGCCCCUACCCGGCUACUCGGCUGCCCCAAACCUGGUUGAUUCAAGUGUACCCUUGUUACUUUGUCACCCCAUUAUUUGGUUCUAUUCAUCCUCCUUAAAACUUUUAAAACUUGAACCG
rnacentral:lncRNA from 1 species